GGUAAAUGCUUCAUGAUAAUAGGUUAGGUAAAUGUUCCAUGAUAAUGGGUUAGGUAAAUGUUUCAUGAUAAUGAGUUAGGUAAAUGUUUCAUGAUAAGAAUUUCAUGUCUUUUGUAUUAAAGAAUUAAAUGGAUGAAAUAUGAAGUUUUAUUAAAAGAAAAAGGGGUGAAAAGAACAAAGUUUUGUCCAUCUUUGUUCAUCAUAGCUGAAAGUUAGAGAAGAGAAAGGAGAGGAGAAAGCUCUUGAGUAUUCGGUCAUUAGGAGGAGGAAAAUUGAAGGCGGUUCGUGUGUGGAUCUCGUCAGCAUAUCGUCGCAAACAGGUAAUCCCCAACCAUAGUGGGCUUGGAGCUGUGAGGGAAUUCGGAGUGGCCACCCGUUCUGAAAGUUUGAUUUUCUUCUGGUGAACUGGACAUCCUUGUAUUUACGUUUGAAGUUUUGGGUUUUUAAAUUUAACAAGGCCGCUUAAUUAUUUUUGAUGGUUUUAAUAUGUAUUACUAAGAUAGGUAAUACUUAUUUUAACUGUUGAAAUUGGAUAGCUUUAGGGCACGUUUUCAAAACCAACAGUUGAUUUCAAAAUAACACGUCAACAAGCAAAGCUUCCGCAAUGAAAGUAUUUUCCAAAAUUAA